rnacentral:rRNA from 1 species
AUAUAUUUUGCUUUGUUCAAAAUAAGGUUUUCUAAUAAAUUAUGUUUUUAUCAGAUAUGACAGAAUCUUUUUUAAAAUCUCUUCAAUAUGCUUUUAUUGCUUUUGAGAGGUUUUGUUACUUUGAGUAAAAUUAAGUGUUCAUAACAGACGGGUAGUCAUGAUUGAGUUCAUUGUGUAUGAAUACUACAGCAUGGAAUAACAAAUAUGAAUAAGCUAAUUAUUUUUUUUUU